UAUAUAAAGUAGCAAAUUAUCGUUCCUGAAUAGGUGGCGCCGUGGUAGCCGAUCAUGUACUUCAACUUCCGGUUUCUGCACUGUGCAACUAUUACAGUUGCAUUUUUAAUUAACGAUGCCAAGUACUUGUUGUUGUGUACCUGGAUGUCAUUUAAGAGGAGGACAUGCAUUUCCAAAUGACUUAAAAAGAAGGAAAAGUUGGAUCAACGCCAUGGCCCAUACGCAGAUUGGACGAGAACACGAUGAAAUCGUGGAGUCCAUCUCAAUCAGCUGUUGUUUGCAAGGCACAUUUUACUGAAAAAGACUACGUGCAGGAAACUAUUCAUGGGCACAAACCCACCAUACAGAGACUUAAGUCUACUGCCAAUCCCAGCCUAAAGAAAAAUCAGGGCAGUUUCCUGUGAAAACAAAAGAACUAAACUUGAUGAAUAUUGUAGUAGAAAUCUAGAGGAAAGUUUUGAUUGUAAAGUUGGUUUUCCUGAAGAAGUAAUUCAUACUGCAGACAGGAUUUAUGACUGUCCACCACCAACUGCCGAGCUAAUGUUGAGCUUCACAGAUGGAAUUACGCAAACACCAUCAAUGCCUAUAUUUUCAGCAGAGAAUUUUAUAAUGAAGACACAUGACACAGCCAUGCAUUUUUAUACCGGUUUAGAGUUGUAUACUAAAUUUUUAUUUGUUUUGACCACACUUGGUCCAACAGCACAUUGUUUGAGAUACAUAUAUUUUCAAAUUGAUAGGGUGUCAUUUGAAAAUCAGUUUUUUUAUGACUUUGAUGAAAUUGAUGCAUUAUACAACCAACUUUGAACUGUCUAGAUUCUAGAUUGAAACUAGUGUUAUGAAUAUUGUGUAAACAUGGAUUGUUUUUAUGUCUAAACAGUGGCGUGAGGCUAACACUUGGCCAUUUAGUGGUUUAGUCAGGUAUUUUUCGCCAUCCAACUUAGAAUUAAAGUUUCCUACAACUUGGAUUAUUAUUGACAGCACAGAAUAUCCCGUGAUAAAACCUAAAGCUUCUAGAGCUCAGGCAACCUUUUCAUCAUAUAAAAACAGAAACACUGAAAAUACUUGUAUGUUCGACACCUGGUGGUUUAGUCAACUAUGUCUCUAAUGCAUAUGUUGGUUGUACCAGUGACUGUGAAAUAGUUGAAAGAUGUAGAAUAGUUCAAUUAUGUGAUCCAGGUGACAGUGUGAUGGCAGACAAAGGUUUAAAUGUGCAAGAUUUGUUUGCUCACUUUUUUCAAAAAAAGAAACAGAAUUAGUUCCAAAACUCUUAUACGGGAUAGAAAAGUCUCCAAUUAACACGUGCACAUAGAGCUAAUUAUUGGACUUGGCAAAACAUACAAAAUUCUAAUAAAUCCUAUGAAUGGAACUGAAACAAAACUUUCAUCUGAAAUAACAUUUAGUUGUUUUAUGUUGUGUAAUUUUAGAACUUGUAUUGUGCCAAAGGAUGCAUAAAUAAAAGUGAUGCAAUGAA